UGAACGCUGGCGGCGAUGCCUAAGACAUGCAAGUCGAACGAGAUGGCCUUUGAAAACUGCGUACUUGUACAAAGUUAGGAUUAAGAUUUCCAUCUAGUGGCAGACGGGUGAGUAAUACAUAAGUAAUCUACCUCAGAGACUGGGAUAACGUUUGGAAACGAACGCUAAUACCGGAUGAUUCUUCUUACACAAGUAAGAAAGCUAAAAGGAGCGUUUGCUUCACUUUGAGAUGAGCUUAUGGCGUAUUAACUAGUUGGUGGGGGUAAUGGCCUACCAAGGUGACGAUGCGUAGCCGAACUGAGAGGUUGAUCGGCCACAUUGGGACUGAGACACGGCCCAAACUCCUACGGGAGGCAGCAGUUAGGAAUAUUCGUCAAUGGGGGAAACCCUGAACGAGCAAUGCCGCGUGAGUGAAUGACGGUCUUUAUGAUUGUAAAACUCUGUUGUAAGGAAAGAACCCUUAUCAUAGGAAAUGAUGAUAAGCUGACGGUACCUUACCAGAAAGCCCCGGCUAACUACGUGCCAGCCGCGGC
rnacentral:rRNA from 1 species